rnacentral:lncRNA from 1 species
UUUUUUAACUGCCCCCGACUCUGUUCUCACUGUGACUCUGUGGCUUUUUGUCUCGUAAUUCUAAUCGCUCAGAUUCUGUCCCCCUUGACCAUACACAUGCUCUGUCUGUCUCCUACCCACAUGUCCCUCCCUUCUCUUUGAGUCCCUGUGACUGGCUUUUUGGUUUGUUUGUCGUGUUUUGUUUUGUUUCUGUUAUCCAUCCCAAAAGCAAGAGAAUCUUCCGGCCACUGCUGCCCCACCCUACUGCAGGAGAUGCUCUGCUCCAGACCUGCCCGCAUGGUUCCAUCCAUCACUCAUGGCCUCAUCCUGGCUCCAUUGGCUUCUAGCAGAAGGAAGGAGGGGAGCCAGCCCACCUCCUAGGGCAAGAGCUUCAGCCCCACGUGGCCACCUCCCUGGAGCUCUGCCCAGCUGUCACAGCCUGCCCUGGGCAUCCCAGCUCUGGGCAUUGUCUUGUGUGCUUCUCAGGCCCCAGAAGGAAAGGGAGGGGGAGGGGGGAAGGCAGCUGGGGAAGAGGGAAAAGGGAGGAAAGGGAGGGGCCUCCAUCUCUAAUUUCAUAAUAAACACUUUAUUUUGUAAAGUAA